UAUAUCCAGUCCAGUAGGCGGUGCUUGUAUUUUUUUCAGAUGUCAAACCAUAGACCCAUCGUUCCCAUCGAAUAUCUCAUUCAGUUUUUGAGUCUUGCUAAAUUCAUACGUUUUCAUUCGUUUCGUUUUCUAUAUUUAUUUGAAUAAAAUCAUCAAAAUUUCUAAAAAAAAAAACCGUAUUCAAAUUUGUCCGAAUCCGUAUGCUUCUUUUGUUCUCCCAUUUUGUGUGAACCAUCUAAAAAAAAGUAAAGUAAAAUACGGUGGGCCUGUAACAAAUUUUUUGAUAUACGAGAACAGUACGAUAACGAACUAAGAAGACAACAUUGAGAGAAAGUAGAGGAAGGAGAGAAACACACGCCAAAACCGUGAAACACAGACACCAAUCGAAAGGCCAAGAUGACUGAGGACAUUGUGUGCCACAAGUGCCAGGAGGCCAUCACCAAGCGAAUGAUCACCGCCCUGGGCAAGACGUGGCAUCCGGAGCACUUCCUGUGCCGCCACUGCGAUGAGCAGAUCGUGGACGCCACCUUCAAUAUCCAGAGCGGCGAGCCGGUGUGCAACAAGUGCUUCGUGGAGCGGUACACCUACACCUGUGCCGGCUGCAAGAAGCCCAUCCUCGAAAGGACCAUCUGCGCCAUGGGCGAGAGCUGGCACGAGGCUUGCUUCUGCUGCGGCGGAGCCUGCAAGAAGCCUCUGGCCAAUCAGUCGUUCUAUGAGCGCGACGGCAAGGCCUACUGCAAACAGGAUUACGAGGACCUCUUCGCUGCCAGGUGCGCCAAGUGCGAGAAGCCCAUAACGGACUCGGCGGUGAUCGCCAUGAACGUGAAGUGGCAUCGCGAUUGCUUCCGGUGCAACAAGUGCGAGAAUCCCAUCACCUCGCAGACCUUCACCAUCGACGGGGACAAGCCCGUGUGCCCCGCCUGCAAUUGCUGACACCGCCCCCGAUGUCCAUGUUCAUUAAGAGUUGGCCACUUGUUUCCCUACACUAAACUUAAAAUAGUUCCCGAUGCUUAGGAGGCCAAGAUGCAGGCAAGAAAUCAGACCCAAACACUUAGCACACUCGACAACACACACGCACCCAAAUAAAAAGAAAUAAGUAAAGUCAAUGGAACGGGGUGGCCAGAGAAUACCCUUUUAUCUUAA